rnacentral:tRNA from 1 species
GAUAAGGUGACUGAAUUAAGGUGAUAAACUGUAAAUUUAUUUAUGGCAUGAGCCCCUUAUCA